rnacentral:rRNA from 1 species
GACGAACCGUGCGAACGUUAUUCGGAAUCACUGGGCUUAAAGCGCGUGUAGGCGGGUGACCGCGUCGACGGCUGAAAGCCCCCGGCUCAACCGGGGAAGCGGCCUCGAAACGGGUUGCCUGGAGGGGAGUAGGGGGACCUGGAACUUCCGGUGGAGCGGUGAAAUGCGUUGAGAUCGGAAGGAACGCCCGUGGCGAAAGCGAGGUCCUGGGCUCUCACUGACGCUGAGACGCGAAAGCCAGGGGAGCGAACGGG